UACCAUGAGAUCCUCGCCUCGCACCUCGCCCAACUGCAGCUACCAGCCGGUGCCGACUACGACGGCGGCCCAAAUCUCCCUUCUGAUGAAACUGUCGAAGCCCUUGUUCGUACUACUUUCUACGAUGAUGAGCUGCGGGCAGCUCUUGUUGAAUAUCAAGCCCACAAGUUGUUGAGCCGACCAGACGAUGUCCAUGGACGGGAUGGAGAUUCUGGAGAGGACUCCGGUGAUGAUAUCGCCGAGGAGGAAUUCGUCAAGUACUCCCAAGUGUUGAAGGCUCGCAGCAGUGCUGAAAUUGACACUGACACUAGACUGAAUCAAGAGCAGUUCAACAGGCUCCAUGUCAAGUAUGUUCGUUAUCACAUCAAAGCUUGCCUGUUGUUGAAAGGAAAGCAUAUCGACGAGCUAGACGAUGCCACAUUGGAACGCAAGUACCCUAUUGAGCUUGCCUUGGGGGAUAAAGACUUAUCCCCUUACCUGGAAGAGGGCGCCUUUGGCUGGUAUUUCGACUCCGACCUCUGUUUACUUGCAUCCUUGAGCGAU
rnacentral:rRNA from 1 species